rnacentral:SRP_RNA from 2 species
CAUCGGUCCCCCCGCAUUGAUUACCCGUUUACCUGGUCAGGCCCGGAAGGGAGCAGCCAAGGCGGGGACAUUGAGUGCCGGGGUGUGGCUGGUGGGG